ensembl:lncRNA LINC02395 long intergenic non-protein coding RNA 2395
AGGUACAACAGAGACAGCUGUUUGUCCCCCAGUAUCCUUCAGACAAAGCCAUAUAUGAUUGAAGGUUAUCAGUACUGUGCUUUUGGAGGAUUCAGAAGAAGUUAUAUCUGAUUGGGAGAUUGAAAAGGAUUGGCCUGAAGGAGAGGUGGUUUUUGAACUGCAUCUUAAAGGAUGAGGAAACUGAGGCUGAGAGGGUAGAGAACUUUGCCUGAGGUCACUCAGCAGGGACCCACCCAUCACAGUAAAUGCCAGCACUGCUGAUGCCAAAACAAUGUUAUUUGUAGGCCCUCGGAAUUUGUGACCUGAAGGAAGAAGAGCAGGGCCGUGGGAAGUAUGUAACCAGUGUCAUGCCCCUGGUCCCAAGGAAGCAGUGGCUUGUGAGCCCGGUGCCCCCCCGGGCCUCCUCAGUGAGCUGAGGAGGCUCAGCAGUGCCUGCACGUCCCCUCGCCACAAUGUCAUGUGCCACCUCUUCAAAGGAGGGAUGUACCAGCUAGUGGACGUGACCUUGACUGCAAAGGGCGGCACGCAGCUGAUGUAAUGGUCGCUUAAGUGUUCACAAAUGCCUGAACACCCUGUCCUACCUGGUCCUACCUGGAUGCUGGCCUCAGUAAGCUCCUGGGCUCAUUGAAGAUGAACCUAGCAGUAGUAUUUACACCACUUGUUGUGUGCCCACUGUGGGCCCGGCGCCAUGCCGAGUGCUCUAUGGAUGUGAGAUGAGAACACUGAAGCAGUUUUUUCUAAAGAUAGCUGCCUGGCACAGUGGCUCACAUCUGUAGUCCCAGCAUUUGGGGAGGCCAAGGCAGGUGGAUCACUUGAGGCCAGGAAUUCAAGACCAGCAUGGCCAACAUGUGCUGGGAGAGAAAAGCAUACGACAUAGACAGGGAGGUCAAGCUCCACCACGCAGAUGAGGUGCAGGCCACCAGUCUUCCUCUGCCACAUCUCUUUCUGAAAAGGCAGCCUGUGCUGAGAAACCAUGACUGAGUAAGCCAAGCUUUGUUGGCCGCACCUGCCAAGCCACAGGGUGCCUCAGGCUUGGAGCAUCCCGGAGCCAGUUACAACCCAAGACUUCAGCCUUCUGGAAGGUGUUGGGUCAGCCACCCUGAAGGACGAUCCUGCCCAAGUGACAUGCUUUGCUCUUCCUUCUCACCCAGGACUUCACAUUCACCCUUGCAAUCCAUGUGGGGACACUGUUGGAUAGGAGGCGUGGUCCCAGCGUGGUCUCCCUGUCUGGGCCUCUGCCUAUGCCAAAUGUUUGCCUUACGCUGCACACUCAAGAGGUUCCAUGUAUACAGAUGGGAAUUCCAGAGCUACAGAAAAGGCAGCAAGCACCAUGAUUUAAGCUAACCAGUGUGGAUUCACACCUUCCUCUCUCUCUAUCAGUGGCAGAACUACCAGCUAGAGUAAGAAGUGGUUGAUCCAGGACCUAAACAUUCUGGAAACUCUUGCCCACUUCUGGGAGAAAUGACCCAAUCCAUAGUACUAAGCACACCUUAACUUUCGUAGGACGCAGGCAAGUUGUCAUACCGUGUGCCUAAAUAUAGAAAAAUGAUCCACUGGACUAAUAAAGUGUUAAAUAAAA